rnacentral:rRNA from 1 species
CAGAACUAAACCACCAUAUCACCUUCAAAUCGUCUGAUCUUUGAAGCUAAGCAAAGUCGGGCCUGGUUAGUACUCGAAUGGGAGAUGGCUGAGAAUAGCAGCAGUAACUCAGU